ACUCCUACGGGAGGCAGCAGUGGGGAAUUUUGGACAAUGGGGGGAACCCUGAUCCAGCCAUGCCGCGUGCAGGAUGAAGGCCUUCGGGUUGUAAACUGCUUUUGUACGGAACGAAAAGGUCUUUUCUAAUAAAGAAGGCUGAUGACGGUACCGUAAGAAUAAGCACCGGCUAACUACGUGCCAGCAGCCGCGGUAAUACGUAGGGUGCGAGCGUUAAUCGGAAUUACUGGGCGUAAAGCGUGCGCAGGCGGUUAUGCAAGACAGAUGUGAAAUCCCCGGGCUCAACCUGGGAACUGCAUUAGUGACUGCAUAGCUAGAGUGCGGCAGAGGGGGAUGGAAUUCCGCGUGUAGCAGUGAAAUGCGUAGAUAUGCGGAGGAACACCGAUGGCGAAGGCAAUCCCCUGGGCCUGCACUGACGCUCAUGCACGAAAGCGUGGGGAGCAAACAGGAUUAGAUACCCUGGUAGUCCACGCCCUAAACGAUGUCAACUGGUUGUUGGGGAUUUACUUCCUCAGUAACGAAGCUAACGCGUGAAGUUGACCGCCUGGGGAGUACGGCCGCAAGGUUAAAACUCACAGGAAUUGACGGGGACCCGCACAAGCGGUGGAUGAUGUGGUUUAAUUCGAUGCAACGCGAAAAACCUUACCCACUUUUGACAUGUACUGAACAUCGCAUAGACGCGAUUGUGCUCUAAAGACAGCCGUAACACACCUGCUGCAU
rnacentral:rRNA from 1 species